UCGACCUGUAAUGUUUAAUUAAGUUUUAUAAUGAAGAUAUGAAAAAACCAGAAUCUAAUCUAAAAAAUAUGUACGACAGUCCGUUUAGUCUAAAAGUAGUGAAAAUCGUUUCAAUGAAAAUGAUGGUUAUAAUGACACUUAGUCAAGCUCGUAGUAGUAGUCAUAAUGAAGUGAGUGAAGAACUUUCUGAUGAAAAGAAAAAUACUCUUAAAAGUAUAUGCUUACGCUCUACAGCAAUGAAGUUGCAAAAUAGGCCUAGGUAAUACUUGGGGUUACCUGAUGAUGCCUAUAUUAUGUAUUUUCUUGAAAAAUACUGUAAAAUAGAUUCUAUGCAUAUAUUUUUGACUUAAUAAAAAUAGAAUCAGAAGUACAUUUGUUUGCUUAUGAAAAUCAUAGAAAUAAUUACAGAAAAGUGAAGCAUUUUAAUAUUGAAUUAAAAUUCAUAUAAAAUAAUAAUAAAGUAACUGUAAUAUUUAAAUAAUUGAGCUGAUAAAAGCUAGUAACUAGUAAUUUAAUUUUUCUACUCCCUUCUGUAAAAUACUUAAUUACACAUUGCCGUAAUUUUUCUGAAAAAAUUACGAACGCAAAAUCAGUCUAUAUAAUUGGCAACGCCGAGCUAGGAAUUGCUAGUACCAUAGAGUCUGUGCGAUUGCUGUUUACUUUUUUGGUGGUUUUUGUGAAAAACUUGUUGUUUGUGGUCAAAACUCUAAGGAAAAAAAUGUGCCUAUAUUCGGGACUCCCACUCACAAACUUGUAUAAUUUGUGCUUUCAAUACUUGCUCCUUCAGGCAAUUACAAGUGUGGCAAAUAUCAGGACCUAAUAGAAUUUGAGACAAACCCGAGUGAUUUAACAAACUGCAAGUGUACAAGAAUUAGAGGAAAUAUAAGAAAACAAUUAAGCUGCAAGUUUUACUAGAACAAUCACAAGAAAUACUCCUUGAUAAUGACAAAUCCUUGUAAACCUCAACGUGGGAAAGUUUUCUUUUGUCAUCAUCACACUUAGUGAUAACGAAAUUACCUUCCGGUUGGUCCAAAAUUACAGAAAUUAUUACCGCAGAAAGUGGAGAAUUACCAGAAUCAGUUCAACUGCAACAGGAAGAACUUGAACGAUACAUCUGCAGGAUGUUUUUGGUAAGUGUGAAGGCAUUACAGAAAAUCUUUGAGAAUUGCCAGGAAUUUUAGGCAAGUAUUCAAAAUUUUGGGAUACUUGAUUUGUAGGCCUUAGAGAGGUAAGUGAAUACUGCAGUACAUACAUACAAAAAUUUGGCACUGAUUGAAUAGAACCAGUUCUAUCAAUAAAUACUGAUUUUGUAAAUCUGCUUGUUGGAUUCGGGACAACUUGAGUAGGAAAAAUAUUAUAUGCACAACUUGGGAGGAAGAGAUAUUGAUUAGUCUCCAAUUAUUUUCCCAACCCUUGCUUAGCUCAAGAGUAAGUUAUGUCCUUGACUCGUAAGUAUCACCUACCUCCCUUGUAUGAAUAGCUAUUUAGUACAAGUUGUGGGACUAUUUACUACAAGUGUGGGAUGUUCUCUAUCCCAUUUUUUUUUGUUAGACUUGCACAUAUGAUUGUUUGUGUUAGUGUUGAUAUAAUAAUCACUUAUUCAGGUAGUGUCAUUCAAUCUACAUUUUAUUUUUUAGUUUACCAAAAGAUGAAAUUGUAAGGAAACAAUGGAUAACAUUGCUUGUCAAGGACCUUCCAGGGAUGCUGAUAACUUUAGAAGAUCAUCCAUAUGUGGGGGUCAAAUCACUCCUUUAAGCUAUAGAAGAGGUGGUAAAGUCUUGAUAAAGUAGGCAGUGCAGUGUCUUUUAGGUAGAUAUUGUGAUCAGUUGUAAAUCGGGUUACUUGUUUUCUGGUCAUUCUAUUUGCUGAUGGUACUUAACAGCCCAUAUUUAAAGUGCCAAAUGGUACCUUUUUUUAACCAGACUGAUAAAAUUUAUCAAAUAAGUCCACAUUCCUCAAAAAUAUUAUUUUGUUGGUAAUAUGUUGGUAAUCUUGAACAUAAGAAGAAAUCUUUGUUGAUAGUGGGCGUUUUUAGGCUUUAUUUCCAACAAGUCAAAAUAAUAAUUUCGUUCCUAAGUAGGACUAGAGUAGAAAUCAGCAAACUUUAAUCUUCAGUGGUAGUCAAAACAACAUUACAAGUUAUAGAAAAGCCUGGCACAGAAUAACCAGCGGUCAUCAGUUUUUAAAAAGAACUUAAGGCACAGUAAUAUAUUGUCAACAAGUGCUUCUGAUUUAAAUUUUGUUUUGAAUUUACCGUUAAUGAAAUUUGUGCUGUAGUUAUUCUAACCAUAAUUACUAAUAUUUUAUUGUAUUAUAAAUGAACAUUUUUUUAUUGGUUUCAUAUUCUGUUUUGAAAUUUUUAAAGGUGGGUGGUCCUCUCAAAUCAAGUAAUAUAAAAGUUCCUUGAAAAAUAAAAAAUAAAUAUUAUUAUGCUAUUAGAAAAAUGCAGCAUAUAUUUUUAUGUAAAUUCUUAUUGUAUUUAUAAGCAACAAUAUAUUUUAUUC